rnacentral:rRNA from 1 species
GAUGAACGCUGGCGGCGUGCCUAAUACAUGCAAGUCGAACGAACAGAUCAGGAGCUUGCUCCUCUGACGUUAGCGGCGGACGGGUGAGUAACACGUGGAUAACCUACCUAUAAGACUGGGAUAACUUCGGGAAACCGGAGCUAAUACCGGAUAAUAUAUUGACCCGCAUGGUUCAAUAGUUAAAGACGUUUUUUCUGUCACUUAUAGAUGGAUCCGCGCCGCAUUAGCUAGUUGGUAAGGUAACGGCAUACCAAGGCAACGAUGUGUAGCCGACCUGAGAGGGUGAUCGGCCACACUGGAACUGAGACAGGGUCCAGACUCCGACGGGAGGCAGCAGCAGGGAAUCUUCCGCAAUGGGCGAAAGCGUGACGGAGCAACGCCGAGGGAGUGAUGAAGGUCUCCGGAUCGUAAAACUCUGUUAUUAGGGAAGAAGAAAUGUGUAAGUAACUAUGCACGUGUUGACGGUACCUAAUCAGAAAGCCACGGCUAACUACGUG